rnacentral:lncRNA from 1 species
UUACGCCGUCGCCUAGCCCAUCUCGACUUGCUCUCACUGCCAUGUCAUGGCAAUGUUACCUCCAGUGCUAUUGCCAAAGAAGAAGACCUUGGUGAAGUCGGCAUGUUUGUUAUUUGUUUAUCCAUGAAUGGGGGCCUUGUUUAUCUUUGGCGUGAGAUGUGACCCAAUUGCAUAUGAGUUCAAUACUUGCCGAUUAAGGACAAAACUCUGCACAGUUCACCAGAAGAAGAAGCAGAAUAGGAGAUAGAUUGUAAUUUGACUCCAG